GCAUUGAUCUUGUUAGCAGAGUACAUUGUCAGGAAAGUGGAGAGGAAAGUUCGGAAGUAGAAUCAGUUUAUUCACUUAAAUGUCAUAUAUCACAAGAAGUGAACCAUUUGAGUGAAGGAUUAAAGCAUGGCUUAAAAUCAGAAAUAGAAAAAGUGUCUCCUUCACUUGGGCGCAGUGCAAUUUUCAUGAAGGAAUCUCGUAUUAAUAGCCUGCCAAG
rnacentral:misc_RNA from 1 species